GAUAAGGACUCGAAACUCCCUCUCACGAGCAGUCGAACCGACAUGGCCGAGUCUUACUUCCUGUCCGAGUCCGGAUCACCGAUUUCUCUUGGGCGUAUUUAUGAUCUUCUCGUCUCAGUCGGUUAUGCCGACGCCGUAAAAACCGAUAUAUCUGCCUCCGAAAAGCUCCGUUCUGGCAUCGUCUGGUGCAUCGCUGCCGUUAACGACGAAACCCUAACACACCUGGAGGAAAUUGAGAUUGAAAAUCGCAUUGGGGAAGCUCUGAGGUUAAUCGGUUGUCCACACCCUCUUGAAGCUUCUCAAAUUGAAACUCUAGACUUCAAAGCCAUUUUUCCCGUUGUACAGUGGCUUGUUAAUCGUGUUAGGACCUUACAAGAUGAUGACAGGGAUCAUGAGAAUCAAAAAGAGCUCGGGCUCGAUAUUAUGAACAAAAUUAAACUUCUACGAGAGAGAAUAGAUAAGGAGGGUGCUACUAUUGCUGUACAGAAAUUGAUACCACUUUUGGGGUCGUUAAAGAAUCUGGAAUUGCAAGAAUCUGAAUUCCAGUCCAAUUGUAAUGUAAAACGCUCUGAACUGCAAGCUGAUAUUAUUGAAUUGGAGGGAAGAAUAGCAAGUGACUGGGAUGGCAAGAUUCCCUCUGAUUGUCUCAGUCAUUCUUUGGUUGAAUCUUUGGAGGAACUGCAUUCAGCAAAAAAGGAACUUGCAGCUAGAUGUAGGGCAAUUAUUGCUGUGAAGCGGCAGCUUGAUGACGUGCCAUCCCAAUCAGAACUCAUCCAGUAUGAACGCCGAUUUUCGGAACUGUAUGUUCAUAUCCAGAAAAAGCAUCGCCAAACUCGUCAAUAUUAUGGUACCUAUAAUGCUCUUUUGGAGAUAAAAGAACUGAUGCUAAAGGAAACAUCCUUAUUGAAUUCAAUAAGUGCCCAGUUCCAAGAAGCCAUUACUAAUGCUGCUGGUCGCAUGAAACUUAUUGAUUCCAUGGAGGGAAUUGUGAAGAGCAGUCAACAGAAACAAGAAAAGGUCCAACUUGGGUUUCAAGAAGAGCAGAAGGUUUGUGAUGCUCUCAAACAGCGAAAUGCUGCUGCUUCUGCAGAGCAAAGACGCUGUUACACUCUGUUAAAAGCUUUCCAGGAGGAAUGCUCAAAGAAUGAAAAACUGCGCUGCCAAAGUUGUACAUAGUGCUUACCUGUUGUGUCAAGGAAGAGGAGGUGAUUAGUAUUGCAGGUCAAAUUUCUAUAGCACUGAAGCGAAGCGAAGAUGAAUGAGAUGAGUUCAGAGUUGAAUUUGAAUUGUGAGUUGUGAUAGUGGAGUAAGUUUUGUGGAAUUUAUUUAAGAUGAAUUUAGAUGUGUUUGGAUAUUAAGAUGAGUUUAUAUGUAUUUAUGAGAAGUUGAAAAAGAUUACGAGUUUUGUGUGUAAAGAGGUGUUGAGUUAAAAAUAUUAUAGAUCUUAGGUGUAAAAAGAUCUUGAGUUAAGUGAUAUUUAAUGAUUUAAAAGUUAUGUAUUUAAA